rnacentral:rRNA from 1 species
UACGAAGGGGGCUAGCGUUGCUCGGAAUCACUGGGCGUAAAGCGCACGUAGGCGGAUCUUUAAGUCAGGGGUGAAUCCUGGAGCUCAACUCCAGAACUGCCUUUGAUACUGAGGAUCUCGAGUCCGGGAGAGGUGAGUGGAACUCCGAGUGUAGAGGUGAAAUUCGUAGAUAUUCGGAAGAACACCAGUGGCGAAGGCGGCUCACUGGCCCGGUACUGACGCUGAGGUGCGAAAGCGUGGGGAGCAAACAGGGAUUAAGCAA